AGUGGGUGUAACGUACCUACUAGCCUACGACGGGUACGGGUUGUGAGAGCAAGAGCCCGGAGAUGGAUUCUGAGACACGAAUCCAGGCCCUACGGGGUGCAGCAGGCGCGAAAACUUUACAAUGCGGGAAACCGUGAUAAGGGAAUCUCGAGUGCCAGCAUAUAAUGUUGGCUGUCCAGAUGCCUAAAAAGCAUCUGUUAGCAAGGGCCGGGCAAGACCGGUGCCAGCCGCCGCGGUAACACCGGCGGCCCGAGUGGUAACCGUUUUUAUUGGGUCCAAAGGGUCUGUAGCCGGCCAUGUAAGUCCCUUGGGAAAUCUGGCAGCUCAACUGUCAGGCUGCUAGGGGAUACUGCUUGGCUUGGGACCGGGAGAGGUGAGAGGUACCUUGAGGGUAGGGGUGAAAUCUUGUGAUCCUCGGGGGACCACCAGUGGCGAAGGCGUCUCACCAGAACGGGUCCGACGGUAAGGGACGAAAGCUAGGGGCACGAACCGGAUUAGAU
rnacentral:rRNA from 1 species